AGUGAACGCUGGCGGUAGGCCUAACACAUGCAAGUCGAACGGCAGCACAGUAAGAGCUUGCUCUUAUGGGUGGCGAGUGGCGGACGGGUGAGGAAUACAUCCGAAUCUACUUUUUCGUGGGAGAUAACGUAGGGAAACUUACGCUAAUACCGCAUACUACCUACGGGUGAAAGCAGGGGAUCUUCUGACCUUGCGCGAUUGAAUGAGCCGAUGUCGGAUUAGCUAGUUGGCGGGGUAAAGGCCCACCAAUGCGACGAUCCGUAGCUGGUGUGAGAGGAUGGUCAGCCGCACUGGAACUGAGACACGGUCCCGAAUCCUACGGGAGGCAGCAGUGGGGAAUAUUGGACAAUGGGGGCAAACCUGAUCCAGCCAUAGCGCGUGGGUGAAGGAGACCUUCGGGUUGUAAAGCCCUUUUGUUGGGAAAGAAAAGCAGCAGGUUAAUACCACGCUGUUCUGACGGUACCCAAAGAAUAAGCACCGGCUAACUUCGUG
rnacentral:rRNA from 1 species